UGCCUUGUACAAACAGAAAGAAGUGGCC
rnacentral:piRNA from 1 species